AACGAACGCUGGCGGCAGGCUUAACACAUGCAAGUCGAGCGGUUGUAGCAAUACAGCAGUGGCAGACGGGUGAGUAACACGUGGGAACCUUCCUAGGGGUACGGAACAACUCAGGGAAACUUGAGCUAAUAACGUAGACGUCCGUGAGGAGAAAGAUUUAUCGCGCUUAGACGGGCCCGCUUCGUAUUAGCUAGUUGGUGGGGGAAUGGCCAAGCAAGGGGAGGAUCGUGAGCUGAUCUUAGAGGAUGAGCAACCACACUGGGACUCAGACACGGCCCAGACUCCUACGGGAGGCAGCAGUGGGGAAUCUUGGACAAUGGGCGCAAGCCUGAUCCAGCCAUGCCGCGUGAGUGAAGAAGGUCUUCGGAUUGUAAAGCUCUUUUGCCAGGGACGAUAAUGACGGUACCUGGAGAAUAAGCCCCGGCAACCUUCGUGCCAGCCGCCGCCGUAAUAC
rnacentral:rRNA from 1 species